rnacentral:lncRNA from 1 species
AGUUAUUAGUAACAUGCACACCGAUAUGUAGGUAACUCUUUGUCUAGAUACUUCACUAAGCAUGUUGUAGGGACUUGGUCUCUAAGUCAUGUUAGCUCACCUAACAGUUAUUGUCCACACUUCUUAGUUAAUCCCGACCCACUAUUCACAAGCAGGUGCAAGGCCUCAUUGGGUCCCUCACCUAACAAUUUUUGGGCCCAAUCCCAUCCUUACCCUGGAGCAACUCUUUGCUAAUAGAGUGGUUGUAUGUUUCUGAUGCAAUUGAAUCACUGUAACC